UACAGAGGUCUCAAGCGUUGUUCGGAAUCACUGGGCGUAAAGGGUGCGUAGGCCGCCCGGUAAGUCAGAGGUGAAAUCCCGGAGCUCAACUUCGGAAUUGCCUCCGAUACUGCCGUGCUUGAGGACUGGAGAGGAGAUUGGAAUUCACAGUGGAGCAGUGAAAUGCGUAGAUAUUGUGAGGAACACUAGUGGCGAAGGCGAAUCUCUGGACAGUUCCUGACGCUGAGGCACGAAGGCCAGGGGAGCAAACGGG
rnacentral:rRNA from 1 species